rnacentral:rRNA from 1 species
UAGGGAAUUUUCGUCAAUGGGCGCAAGCCUGAACGAGCAAUGCCGCGUGAGCGAAGAAGGUCUUCGGAUCGUAAAACUCUGUUGCGGGGGAAAAAGGAAGGAAAGAGGAAAUGCUUUUCUUUUGAUGGUACCCCGCCAGAAAGUCACGGCUAACUACGUGCCAGCAGCCGCGGUAAUACGUAGGUGGCAAGCGUUAUCCGGAAUGAUUGGGCGUAAAGGGUGCGCAGGCUGCGCGUCAAGUCUGAAGUGAAAGGUACGGGCUUAACCGGUACAGGCUUUGGAAACUGGCACGCUAGAGGACAGGAGAGGGCGGUGGAACUCCAUGUGUAGCGGUAAAACUGCGUAGAUAUAUGGAAGAACACCAGUUGCGAAGGCGACCGCCUGGACUGUUGCUGACGCUCAGGCACGAAAGCGUGGGGAGCAAAUAGGAUUAGAUACC